rnacentral:tRNA from 1 species
GCCGCGUUAGUUUAAAAAACAUUAGCCUGUGGAGCUAAAAAUGGACUUACCACCCCACGCAGCC